rnacentral:rRNA from 1 species
UACAGAGGUCUCGAGCGUUGUUCGGAUUCAUUGGGCGUAAAGGGUGCGUAGGUGGUAUGGUAAGUCGGAUGUGAAAUCCCGGGGCUCAACCCCGGAACUGCAUUCGAUACUGCCGUGCUUGAGUACUGGAGAGGAGAUCGGAAUUUACGGUGUAGCAGUGAAAUGCGUAGAUAUCGUAAGGAAGACCAGUGGCGAAGGCGGAUCUCUGGACAGUUACUGACACUGAGGCACGAAGGCCAGGGGAGCAAACGGG